UGCACACAGGACUGUGAGUCACUUUGGGUAAAAGUGUCUGCUAAAUUGCAUUUA
rfam:Salmo salar isolate Sally breed double haploid chromosome ssa20, whole genome shotgun sequence.